UCCCAGAUGGCUUAGGGGUAAAGUAUCUGCCUGCCAAUGCAGGAGACUCAGGAGAUGCAGGUUCAAUCCCUGGGUUGGGAA
rnacentral:tRNA from 1 species